CGGGAGCCCUGGGACCGGCUGUCGGAUGUUCUGGGAUGAUCCUGAACUUGGGGACGUUUGUCCUGAAUUUGAACCGUGGGUCCUGGAGCCGCCACCCCUGCUGCAGUGGUGGCCCCCUCCAGCUCUGCUGUCUGCACAGGGCCCCCUGGCACCACAUGCGUGGCAGGGCUCCUGAUGCAGCUCAAAGGCAGCUACACUCCCUGGCUCCCAAAGUUUGUGCAGGUGACUGCAGGCAGGACCACGCGUGGGUUCACAGCUGGAAGCCGGGCUUCUAGGGGUGCGGACACGGGAAGGCCUGGAGCCCUUUCCAAAGACCAGCACCUGGUCCCCUCUACUUGCAUGCAGCCGAACAAGUCAAAUGCAUCAAAAGCCCCAACACUCCCCCUGGAGGAAGGAGCAUUGAAACUGGAUCCUCAGAUGCUGCUGUUUGGCCCCUGCUACACGUUACAUGUAUAACGCAACGGACUGGUGAAUCGCGCAAGAAAUGUAGAGCCGCCAAGGUGCUCCCAUCACCUGGAGCGAGUGGUCCCCUGCACUGCUGGACGAGACGCAAGGAACCGGCCAGUCCCCACUCCCAGCCUGAAGGUCCCAUCUCGCUGGGUCAGCCUUGCACUUGUCCAGCCAGGGCGAGAAGGGAAGUCACCGGCUGAGGGGCGAGCAGGAGACUUGGGCAUUGGCAGGGGCCAGGCUGUGAUAGCAGCAUGGAGCAGGCAGAAGGGGCCUGCGUUUUUCAGCAACAACGGCUGGAAAAAGCAGCUCCCCGCUGCUCGUAUGAGACCCGGCCAAAAUCAACAGGCUUGGCUCUGUCUGGGGGCUGGAUCUCGUCUUUGGCAGGGGACGGGCUUGACUCGAGGGCCUGUUCCCAUCCGUAACAAGGAUGUUACAACAGAGCUGAUUCUCCUUCCUAGGGGCUGCGGCCACCGUGGAAACACCAGCGCUCGCUGUCCCCAGUCCCAGCGCUCUGCAGGGCUCUUUCCAUUGCAACAGGCUGGGGAGCAGACCCCUGGCACAAGCACCCCCCGCAAGGGCACGACCUGCACCCCAGAAGCUUUCAGGGUUGGAAGCACAAGGAAGCCCUCCCUGGGGGGCUGUGAUCCAGGGGAGCUCUGCACACACGUCCAUGGCAGGACGGGCUCUGAAGCGAGCUAUUCAUAGCAGAGCCGUUGCGAUGCUCCGUUCCCUCCCUGGCAGCUGCACAAGAGGCAACUGGCUGACUUCGCCUACUUAAAUAUGUUUCGGAGGAUCACAGAAGUUCAAGGGUAAGAAGCGGAAGCUUGUAUUUGCGGUGCCCUUUCGGAGAGGAAGGUCAGACUGAAAAUCUAUGCAUCUCACUAGUCAUCUUGCUUUUGGGGUGGAUCAGAGCGGCCAUUUACAAAAAUAGAAAUACCCAAGGUGGAAUUAAAAACCCUGUGAAACCAUCCAUCUCAGAGAUGAAAGCUUCCGUAAGUCCAAAUACCCACCUCCUACCUUCUCCGGUAGGGUUAUUCAAUGCUAAUUCAAAUUGUAUUUUUUUUUCUGCUAAACAAAUAGCCAGACGAUAACUCAUUUUGGACCACAAAGAGAUUCUAAGGAGAAGCGUCUCUACCUUUCCAAGAGAGAUUUACGGGCUCUUCCCAUCCUUUUCACCCAGGCUGCCUCAACAGAGGCAAAACCAGAAAGCUGCCUUGUUUCGGAUGAGUCUACAAAGCGCCCUGCAGCUCGCGGGGCAGGGACUUCUCUCCACCAGACCUAACUGUCCUGCUGUACGAAGGCUUUUAAAAAUUAAAACACCUGCUUUGCAAGGUCCUAAGCGUCCGUGGCUUCAGAGCCCCCAGAGCCCUGAUACACACAAUAAAAUAGCCUUGGAAGGUAGGUCAGACCCUCCUCCCACACUCAGGGUGGUCUGUAGCUUAUUAGUGUAUCCCAGCCCAGAGCGUACCAGUCUGGAUCCAGUGCAUGUAAAAGACAAAUGGACUGAAACCAGCCCCAACCCCCCCCCAUCCCUCCUGCAAUGCCACUCUGCACGUGAAGGGCAUUCCUAACCUGUGCCCUCCACAGCAGGAAGGACACCCUCCCGAAGGCAGCCCACUGCAGCAGCUGCAGUUUGCUGAUGCCCACGGUCUGGGUGGCGAGGCCGUGGCUACCCCAACUGCCCUCCGUGCAGCUGUGCACGGGCCAGUUAGACCUCAUCCAGCACUUGCUUCCCCCCCACCCUUCACGGUUUGCAAAGUCUCUCCCGAUGGGUUUGCAGUGACGCGCGUUCCCUUCCCUUCACAGUGAGAUGCCCCCGUCCUCAGAGUCCUGCUGGCAGGAGGGACGGGCGGCUGGGAGCUGCAGGGAGCCUUCUGCCCUGGGAUACCCAGGCCCCAGAAACCUUCUCA